UUAUUGGAGAGUUUGAUCCUGGCUCAGGACGAACGCUGGCGGCGUGCCUAAUACAUGCAAGUCGAGCGGACUUGAGGGAGCUUGCUCCCGAUGGUCAGCGGCGGACGGGUGAGUAACACGUGGGCAACCUGCCUGUAAGACUGGGAUAACUCCGGGAAACCGGAGCUAAUACCGGAUAAUUCAUUCCCUCACAUGAGGGAAUGCUGAAAGACGGCUCCGGCUGUCACUUACAGAUGGGCCCGCGGCGCAUUAGCUAGUUGGUGAGGUAACGGCUCACCAAGGCCACGAUGCGUAGCCGACCUGAGAGGGUGAUCGGCCACACUGGGACUGAGACACGGCCCAGACUCCUACGGGAGGCAGCAGUAGGGAAUCUUCCGCAAUGGACGAAAGUCUGACGGAGCAACGCCGCGUGAGCGAAGAAGGCCUUCGGGUCGUAAAGCUCUGUUGUCA
rnacentral:ncRNA from 1 species